AGCUCAGUGGUAGAGCACUUGCCUUGCAGGCAAGAGGCCCUGGUUCAGUUCCCAG
rnacentral:tRNA from 1 species